UGCUGGGGAAAAAAAAAAUCAUUGUUUAGCAUUCAAUUCCCUUGACAAGAAAACAAAUGCCUUCUUAAAUGAUCAUCUCAGUAGUCGAAAUGCCAAAGAGGGAGAAACAGGUCCUAUCUACAUACAUUUGGCAGUAAACUCACAACAGGUAGAAAUUGUAAGAUGCCAUCACAUAAUUGCUUCACAGGAUAUUAAUAAUCUCUUACAACUGAGGGGACUCACUCACUCGAGAAUCAGAUUCCCACAAAUGAAAGAAUUAACAUAUAUGUUAUAUCACAUGAACAGUCGCACCAUGUCGGGUCGAUGUAUGAUUUGAUAAAACAUGCCUGCCUCCAGUUUGUGUAGAUUCUCAAAUCUCCUUUGUGGUUAACCAAUUUUCUAAAUGAUAGUAGCACAUUCUUUGAUGAAACAUCAGCAAAUUCCCACCAUUUUAAGAGUAAUCACAGUAUAUUUUCUAUUUGAAUUCUCAGAAACUGGAAGCAAAUCAAAUCAAACACCUGCACAAAUAGCUCCUGAUGACCAAGAUGAGCAGCAAAGCUUCCCUUCAUCUACAUGUUUGACGUCAAGCCCAAUAAACCAGGAUCCAGCACUCACAUCAUCAUGUGCAUAGGUGCGAAGAAGAGAUCUGUUUAUGGAUACAAAUUUAGCUAAAGCUCGUGAUAUGACAUACAUCUCACCUGAAGCAUGGCGAAAGUACGAUUUCUUAUCUCCAAACUUCCACCAAUCUGGUUCAUACCAUUUAUGACUAAGUUCAGAGAAAACUUCGCCUGAUUUCAUACAACCAAUAUAAACACGAGGCUUGUCCAAUUGAGUUGCCAGUGUAGCUCCAAGAGCAUCAAUAUUAACAUAUAUAUUGUCAUUGACUUUAGCAUAGAACUCAGCAUCCCAUUUAUCCACAGCAUGAGCAAAAAAUAGUUUAGCCUUAUUUGGAAAUCCCUCAUUUGCCUCCACAUGGUUAUCGAGAAUUAAGAAGUCAUUAGCAUGCUUAUUUUCAUUGUCAAUUUCCCUGUCCAAAUUGUCCCCACGAUUUGCACUUCUUCCAAUGACAAAACGUGAAACUAUGCCUUUCUCAUUCUCCAUUUUCUUCAAGGUUAUACCAGUUCCCAUCCAUGCUUUACGGAUUGCAUUCCUAUUGUUCAUUCUGCCAAACCUUGUCAGUAUUCCUAUCACUACUAGAUGUCUUUUCUUUGAAUUUGUCCCAUCAUUCUGUGACAAGAAGUUUGAAGUAAAACCCUCCUGUUUAGCUGUAGCCAAUUCCAUCUCAAGGGCUGAUAACUUUUUCUGUUGCUCCCUGCAGGCUAUUAUUUUCAAUGUAUCAUCCACAGAUAUAGCAGAUUGUCCCUGUCCAGUUAUCCUGUCGAGCUCUUUAAUCAAAUAAACCCUGUUCUCCGAAUCUUGCCAUAACCUGCCAGCGACAUAAAUGGAAGCGAAAGUAGCGAACAUUGAGAACAAUAAAGUUGAUAUUCUUGAUCCAUACACUCUGCUAUUCGAUCCUUGACUACCUCUGGUAUGCAUCUUUUUAACUCUUUAUCACUAGAUCUUCAAUCCCUUCUCAAUGGAUUCAACGGGACUAUCAAAAUCGGAUAAACAGAACCC
rnacentral:misc_RNA from 1 species